AUGAGGGCCCCGGCUCAGCUCCUCAGCCUCCUGCUGCUCUGGCUCCCAGGGGUCAGGGGUGACAUCCUGAUGACCCAGUCCCCACCCUCCAUGUCUGCAUCUCAGGGAGUCACCAUCUCCUGCCUGGCCAGCCAGGAUGUUAGCAAUGUGGUAGACUGGUUUCAGCAGAAACCAGGGAAAGCUCCUAAGAUCCUCAUCUAUUGGACAUCCAAUUUGCAACCUGGGGUCCCCUCCCGCUUCAGUGGCAGCAGGUCUGGGACAGACUACACGCUCACCAUCAGCAGCCUGGAGCCUGAGGAUGUCGGCACUUAG